AUGGACCCCCAUACACUCCGGUUCCUCCGCACCCACCUGACAGCUGCCCGCGACGUUUUGUUAGCC
rnacentral:sRNA from 1 species